GUGAGUAUAGCUUAGUGGUAGAGCACUUGUCUAGCACACAUAAGGCCCUGAGUUUGAUCCCCAGCACUACA
rnacentral:tRNA from 1 species